rnacentral:rRNA from 1 species
GUAGUCCAUGCCGUAAACGUUGGGAACUAGGUGUGGGUCUCAUUCCACGAGAUCCGUGCCGCAGCUAACGCAUUAAGUUCCCCGCCUGGGGAGUACGGCCGCAAGGCUAAAACUCAAAGGAAUUGACGGGGGCCCGCACAAGCGGCGGAGCAUGCGGAUUAAUUCGAUGCAACGCGAAGAACCUUACCAAGGCUUGACAUACACCGGAAUCACUCAGAGAUGGGUGCGUCUUCGGACUGGUGUACAGGUGGUGCAUGGUUGUCGUCAGCUCGUGUCGUGAGAUGUUGGGUUAAGUCCCGCAACGAGCGCAACCCUCGUUCUAUGUUGCCAGCACGUCAUGGUGGGGACUCAUAGGAGACUGCCGGGGUCAACUCGGA